CUCCAAGGCUAAAUACUCCUGACUGACCGAUAGUGAACCAGUACCGUGAGGGAAAGGCGAAAAGAACCCCGGCGAGGGGAGUGAAAAAGAACCUGAAACCGUGUACGUACAAGCAGUGGGAGCACGCUUAGGCGUGUGACUGCGUACCUUUUGUAUAAUGGGUCAGCGACUUAUAUUCUGUAGCAAGGUUAACCGAAUAGGGGAGCCGAAGGGAAACCGAGUCUUAACUGGGCGUUAAGUUGCAGGGUAUAGACCCGAAACCCGGUGAUCUAGCCAUGGGCAGGUUGAAGGUUGGGUAACACUAACUGGAGGACCGAACCGACUAAUGUUGAAAAAUUAGCGGAUGACUUGUGGCUGGGGGUGAAAGGCCAAUCAAACCGGGAGAUAGCUGGUUCUCCCCGAAAGCUAUUUAGGUAGCGCCUCGUGAAUUCAUCUCCGGGGGUAGAGCACUGUUUCGGCAAGGGGGUCAUCCCGACUUACCAACCCGAUGCAAACUGCGAAUACCGGAGAAUGUUAUCACGGGAGACACACGGCGGGUGCUAACGUCCGUCGUGAAGAGGGAAACAACCCAGACCGCCAGCUAAGGUCCCAAAGUCAUGGUUAAGUGGGAAACGAUGUGGGAAGGCCCAGACAGCCAGGAUGUUGGCUUAGAAGCAGCCAUCAUUUAAAGAAAGCGUAAUAGCUCACUGGUCGAGUCGGCCUGCGCGGAAGAUGUAACGGGGCUAAACCAUGCACCGAAGCUGCGGCAGCGACGCUUAUGCGUUGUUGGGUAGGGGAGCGUUCUGUAAGCCUGCGAAGGUGUGCUGUGAGGCAUGCUGGAGGUAUCAGAAGUGCGAAUGCUGACAUAAGUAACGAUAAAGCGGGUGAAAAGCCCGCUCGCCGGAAGACCAAGGGUUCCUGUCCAACGUUAAUCGGGGCAGGGUGAGUCGACCCCUAAGGCGAGGCCGAAAGGCGUAGUCGAUGGGAAACAGGUUAAUAUUCCUGUACUUGGUGUUACUGCGAAGGGGGGACGGAGAAGGCUAUGUUGGCCGGGCGACGGUUGUCCCGGUUUAAGCGUGUAGGCUGGUUUUCCAGGCAAAUCCGGAAAAUCAAGGCUGAGGCGUGAUGACGAGGCACUACGGUGCUGAAGCAACAAAUGCCCUGCUUCCAGGAAAAGCCUCUAAGCAUCAGGUAACAUCAAAUCGUACCCCAAACCGACACAGGUGGUCAGGUAGAGAAUACCAAGGCGCUUGAGAGAACUCGGGUGAAGGAACUAGGCAAAAUGGUGCCGUAACUUCGGGAGAAGGCACGCUGAUAUGUAGGUGAAGUCCCUUGCGGAUGGAGCUGAAAUCAGUCGAAGAUACCAGCUGGCUGCAACUGUUUAUUAAAAACACAGCACUGUGCAAACACGAAAGUGGACGUAUACGGUGUGACGCCUGCCCGGUGCCGGAAGGUUAAUUGAUGGGGUCAGCGCAAGCGAAGCUCUUGAUCGAAGCCCCGGUAAACGGCGGCCGUAACUAUAACGGUCCUAAGGUAGCGAAAUUCCUUGUCGGGUAAGUUCCGACCUGCACGAAUGGCGUAAUGAUGGCCAGGCUGUCUCCACCCGAGACUCAGUGAAAUUGAACUCGCUGUGAAGAUGCAGUGUACCCGCGGCAAGACGGAAAGACCCCGUGAACCUUUACUAUAGCUUGACACUGAACAUUGAGCCUUGAUGUGUAGGAUAGGUGGGAGGCUUUGAAGUGUGGACGCCAGUCUGCAUGGAGCCGGCCUUGAAAUACCACCCUUUAAUGUUUGAUGUUCUAACGUGGACCCGUGAUCCGGGUUGCGGACAGUGUCUGGUGGGUAGUUUGACUGGGGCGGUCUCCUCCUAAAGAGUAACGGAGGAGCACGAAGGUUGGCUAAUCCUGGUCGGACAUCAGGAGGUUAGUGCAAUGGCAUAAGCCAGCUUGACUGCGAGCGUGACGGCGCGAGCAGGUGCGAAAGCAGGUCAUAGUGAUCCGGUGGUUCUGAAUGGAAGGGCCAUCGCUCAACGGAUAAAAGGUACUCCGGGGAUAACAGGCUGAUACCGCCCAAGAGUUCAUAUCGACGGCGGUGUUUGGCACCUCGAUGUCGGCUC
rnacentral:rRNA from 1 species